rnacentral:rRNA from 1 species
UGUAUAAUGGGUCAGCGACUUACGUUCAGUAGCAAGCUUAACCGGAUAGGGGAGGCGCAGCGAAAGCGAGUCUGAUAAGGGCGAUUUAGUUGCUGGGCGUAGACCCGAAACCAAGUGAUCUAUCCAUGGCCAGGAUGAAGGUGCGGUAACACGCACUGGAGGUCCGAACCCACUAAUGUUGAAAAAUUAGGGGAUGAGCUGUGGAUAGGGGUGAAAGGCUAAACAAAUCCGGAAAUAGCUGGUUCUCCCCGAAAACUAUUUAGGUAGUGCCUCUUGUAUCACUGACGGGGGUAAAGCACUGUUAUGGCUAGGGGGUCAUCGCGACUUACCAAACCAUUGCAAACUCUGAAUACCGUCAAGUGCGAGCUUGGGAGACAGACAUCGGGUGCUAACGUCCGGUGUCAAGAGGGAAACAACCCAGACCGCCGAUUAAGGUCCCGAAGACAUAGUUAAGUGGGAAACGAGGUGGGAAGGCUCAGACAGCCAGGAGGUUGGCUUAGAAGCAGCCAUCCUUUAAAGAAAGCGUAAUAGCUCACUGGUCGAGUCGUCCUGCGCGGAAGAUGUAACGGGGCUCAAACUAUGCACCGAAAUCGCGGAUAUGUGCGUUCCACUUUAGUUCAUUCGAAGAAUGAGCAUGGGCGUCACUCACUUGCUUGCAAGUGAUGUGGAGACCAAAGCGCUCCUCACGUCGAGUUUGAUGUGGGCAGAGUGAAUUAAAGGGAACGCACAUAUGGUAGGAGAGCGUUCUGUAGGCCGAUGAAGGUGUCUGGUAACGG